rnacentral:rRNA from 1 species
CCUACGGGUGGCAGCAGUGGGGAAUAUUGCACAAUGGGGGAAACCCUGAUGCAGCGACGCCGCGUGAGUGAAGAAGUAUUUCGGUACGUAAAGCUCUAGCAGCAGGGAAGAAAAUGACGGUACCUGACGAAGAAGCCACGGCUAACUACGUGCCAGCAGCCGCGGGAAGACGAAGGGGGCAAGCGUUAACCGGAUUUACUGGGUGUAAAGGGAGCGUAGACGGCAGCGCAAGUCUGGCGGGAAAGCCCAUGGCUUAACCAUGGAACUGCUUUGGAAACUGUGCAGCUAGAGUGCAGGAGAGGUACGCGGACUUCCUCGUGUAGCGGUGUAAUGCGUAGAUAUUAGGCGGAACACCAGUGGCGACGGCGGCUUACUGGCCUGUCCCUGCCGUUGAGGCUC